rnacentral:tRNA from 1 species
AGAGUAAUAGCUCAGUGGUAGAGCUUAGCAUGCCCAAGGUCCUGGGUUCAAUUCCCAGUACCUCCA